GACGAACGCUGGCGGCGUGCUUAACACAUGCAAGUCGAACGAUGAUGCCCAGCUUGCUGGGUGGAUUAGUGGCGAACGGGUGAGUAACACGUGAGUAACCUGCCCCUGACUCUGGGAUAAGCGUUGGAAACGACGUCUAAUACUGGAUACGACUGCCGGCCGCAUGGUCUGGUGGUGGAAAGAUUUUUUGGUUGGGGAUGGACUCGCGGCCUAUCAGCUUGUUGGUGAGGUAAUGGCUCACCAAGGCGACGACGGGUAGCCGGCCUGAGAGGGUGACCGGCCACACUGGGGCUGAGACACGGCCCAGACUCCUACGGGAGGCAGCAGUGGGGAAUAUUGCACAAUGGGCGAAAGCCUGAUGCAGCAACGCCGCGUGAGGGAUGACGGCCUUCGGGUUGUAAACCUCUUUUAGUAGGGAAGAAGCGAAAGUGACGGUACCUGCAGAAAAAGCACCGGCUAACUACGUGCCAGCAGCCGCCGUAA
rnacentral:rRNA from 1 species